rnacentral:rRNA from 1 species
GUAGGUGGCAAGCGUUGUCCGGAAUUAUUGGGCGUAAAGCGCGCGCAGGCGGUUCUUUAAGUCUGAUGUGAAAGCCCACGGCUCAACCGUGGAGGGUCAUUGGAAACUGGAGAACUUGAGGUACAGAAGAGGAAAGCGGAAUUCCACGUGUAGCGGUGAAAUGCGUAGAGAUGUGGAGGAACACCAGUGGCGAAGGCGGCUUUCUGGUCUGUAACUGACGCUGAGGCGCGAAAGCGUGGGGAGCAAACAGGGAUUAGAUACCCUGGUAGUCCACGCCGUAAACGAUGAGUGCUAAGUGUUAGGGGGUUUCCCGCCCCUUAGUGCUGCAGCUAACGCAUUAAGCACUCCGCCUGGGGAGUACGGCCGCAAGGCUG